CCAAUGUGGAAUGACUAAUAGAGACCAACAUUGAUCAAGUUACUUCCAGAAUGUACAAACGUGGUGUUGCUGGAACAGCCGGGUUUUUAAAAUCCCUCAUUCGAGCUCCGUGAACUCUGCGGCACACCUAGUUUACCUCGACAUGCCGCGCUCCCGCGAGACGACCUCCAGGAUUUCGUGAUCCGGUACUCUGUAAUUAUUCACUCGACAACGUCUUCCUUGUAGUACAUUGUGCAUUAGGCUCAUUUACACAUGUGACAAAACACACAAGCGUUUUUGACAAGCAUAUGUUAACAAAGGCAAUGUGUUGCUGCGGUGCAGAUUUGAAAAGACGUCUUUACACCUAGAGACACGUUCUCAUAAUGCUACAAUAUGCAAUCUGUUAUAUUCAAAUAAGCAGAAAUAAAAUCUGAAUGUAAAACAGUGUGAUGUAUACUUGUCAGAUGUGCGAGGCCUGAUUUAGACCUGAUUUAACUUAUUUAUUUAUUUGGUACAUUAUCACAUUUUUCAUAACGGCAGGCUUUUAAAAACAGCUCAAUCCAUCAAUCUGCUUCCAUCCACCCGUCAGUUGGUCGAUAGACAGACAGAUAAAGGAAAGAUAUCAUCAUGAGAUGAAGAAUGUGGAACUAGUGUGCCUGGUCUUUGUAUUUCAAGCAUCACAUUUUGCAAAAAACUUUUUAGCUCCGAGGGUUCCAGCAUCUCCAAAACAAUGUUGCAGAGACUUUUCCAACCUGCUGAUGAAAAAGGACGGAUCCAUUCUUGUUGUAGAGCCGUGUUGGACGUGACAGUAGCUGAUGUAUGCAGAUGGAGUUGCCGAGGUGACAUCCAAUGCAGAAAUAUGAC
ensembl:lncRNA